CACGUAUGGGGCGAGCGUUGUUCGGAAUUAUUGGGCGUAAAGGGUGCGCAGGCGGUUAUACAAGUCUGGUGUCAAAGACCGCAGCUUAACUGCGGAAGGGCAUUGGAAACUGUAUGACUAGAGUUCGUGAGGGGUAGCUGGAAUUCCAGGUGUAGGGGUGAAAUCUGUAGAUAUCUGGAAGAACAUCAAUGGCGAAGGCAAGCUACUGGCACUGAACUGACGCUGAGGCACGAAAGCGUGGGGAGCAAACAGG
rnacentral:rRNA from 1 species